AGCUAGAUUGACGAGAAAGUUUAUUUUGCACAUGGUCUUUCCUGGUUUUGUCCUUGUAGCAAGAAGUACUCUUUUUAUAACAAUAUCAGCUUUGCUCUGUUGUGUGCAAUGAUGUCAUUUAGUCAUUGUAGUUGCCCAUAUCGACGAUGGUUUAUUUCAGCCUCGAGGACCUUGCUGGUACCAGAUCCAACGGGGAGGAGAUUGCUGAGGCGGCUGAUUCCUAUGGGCUAUGUGAAAUUAAUGGUUGACUUGAUUGAGGAGUUAUGAGCUUUCUCAAAUCCUUAAGAGGUCGAUCGUGGAGCCACUCGCCCGCCGACGAGGUACGAGAUCGCCGCCACUGACAUCCGAGAGGAGCCGCCGCCAGACCUCAUCGCGGAGCCGUUUGCCGCCGUGGAGGUACGAGAGUAGCCGCCGCCGCCUUCAUUGCGGACCUCAUCAUGGAGCCGUUCGCCGCCGCCGCGAGAAGAUGCUCGAGAUCGGAUCCUUCUCCAGAACCGCCCAACGGGAUGGGAGCCUCCGCGUGUUCCUGCUCUGGCGACGACGUGGCCGUUCUUCUACUGGGCCACUCCAUCACCCACCACCUGUGUGCCUCCUCCAGUCUCCAUCUCGAUCUGUGCUGAGCCUUGAGUACUUGUGAUAAUAUUUUAUUUUCAAUUUUCAGUGGCAAUGCCUUAGUAUCAUACCUCAGUUGAUAGUACCUGUUAAAUAAUCUAGCCAGGACCAGGCUGGUGCCUUUUCAUUAGUUUAGGUUGAAGCAGUGACACUGUCUAGCAAACACAUUGAUUAUAGA